rnacentral:rRNA from 1 species
CCUACGGGGGGCAGCAGUGGGGAAUAUUGGACAAUGGGGGGAACCCUGAUCCAGCCAUGCCGCGUGUGUGAAGAAGGCCCUCGGGUUGUAAAGCACUUUCAGUGAGGAAGAACGCCUGGUGGUUAAUACCCAUCAGGAAAGACAUCACUCACAGAAGAAGCACCGGCUAACUCCGUGCCAGCAGCCGCGGUAAUACGGGGGGUGCGAGCGUUAAUCGGAAUUACUGGGCGUAAAGCGCGCGUAGGUGGCUUGAUAAGCCGGUUGUGAAAGCCCCGGGCUCAACCUGGGAACGGCAUCCGGAACUGUCAAGCUAGAGUGCAGGAGAGGAAGGUAGAAUUCCCGGUGUAGCGGUGAAAUGCGUAGAGAUCGGGAGGAAUACCAGUGGCGAAGGCGGCCUUCUGGACUGACACUGACACUGAGGUGCGAAAGCGUGGGUAGCAAACAGGAUUAGAUACCCUUGUAGUC